UUGACCUCGAAUCAGGUAGGAAUACCCGCUGAACUUAAGCAUAUCAAUAAGCGGAGGAAAAGAAACCAACAGGGAUUGCCCCAGUAACGGCGAGUGAAGCGGCAACAGCUCAAAUUUGAAAUCUGGCUCUCGGGCCCGAGUUGUAAUUUGUAGAGGAUGCUUUUGGUGAGGUGCCUUCCGAGUUCCCUGGAACGGGACGCCAUAGAGGGUGAGAGCCCCGUCUGGUUGGACGCCGAACCUCUGUAAAGCUCCUUCGACGAGUCGAGUAGUUUGGGAAUGCUGCUCUAAAUGGGAGGUAUAUGUCUUCUAAAGCUAAAUACCGGCCAGAGACCGAUAGCGCACAAGUAGAGUGAUCGAAAGAUGAAAAGAACUUUGAAAAGAGAGUUAAACAGUACGUGAAAUUGUUGAAAGGGAAGCGCUUGUGACCAGACUUGGGCUUGGUUGAUCAUCCGGGGUUCUCCCCGGUGCACUCUUCCGGCCCAGGCCAGCAUCAGUUCGCCCUGGGGGACAAAGGCUUCGGGAACGUGGCUCUCUCCGGGGAGUGUUAUAGCCCGUUGCGUAAUACCCUGUGGCGGACUGAGGUUCGCGCAUUCGCAAGGAUGCUGGCGUAAUGGUCAUCA
rnacentral:rRNA from 1 species